CUCGGCACCCCCUGGAGACAAUUCUGCCCCGGGGCCCCGCGGUCCUCAGGGGGCUUGUGAGGCACCCUCAGGUGGCCGUGCCGCACUCCUGCACCCCCGGACGCCAUCUGAGAGAACCUUGGGUUGACCCUGGAGCUGGCGGCUGGCACCCUCUGCCCCCGACGAGGGACCCCCAGGAACAAAUGCGGCCACCUAGAUUUCCCCCGGCCUAUCCACACGGCUCCCGAUAUAAAACCACCUUUCCAUUUUGAACACGCCACUUUGUGCCAAAAACGCUGGACUCCGAUUUCCAGCUGGGCGGACUGUGUGCAAACUCCGAAUUCCCUCACAAUAGAGGUCGGCUCAAGAUAAUACAUUUUGGAGAAGGAGUGAGCCCCCCGGUUUCUGUUGGAUGACUAUUAAGUGUGCGUGGAGCCAGUUGGAACGAAUUCUGUUUACACCCUCGCUGUGACAGUGCUACGUGGGAGCCAACAGCUGCCACAGAGAGCAGCGCUGGGAAAACACCUGCCUUCCUUCACGCUCCUCUGGAAGGACACUGUGUUACAUUUUGAGUUUAUUUUGGGGAAAAUAUUAGUCUUCAUUUCAAUGUCAGGGAAUAAUUACGACAUUUAUCACGUUUUGACCCUAAGUUUAUGCCUUUGGUCAGGAGUCCUGGAUUUUGUUUAAAAUGGUACUAGCCACAGAUUUCACUCACCGAAAGUAAAAUCUAUUUAGUCUAGCAUUUCU